GAUGAACGCUGGCGGCGUGCCUAAUACAUGCAAGUCGAGCGAACGGACUAGAAGCUUGCUUCUCUGAUGUUAGCGGCGGACGGGUGAGUAACACGUGGAUAACCUACCUAUAAGACUGGGAUAACUUCUGGAAACCGGAGCUAAUACCGGAUAAUAUUUUGAACCGCAUGGUUCAAAAGUGAAAGACGGUCUUGCUGUCACUUAUAGAUGUAUCCGCGCUGAAUUAGCUAGUUGUUAAGGAAACGGCUUACAAAGGCAACGAUGCAUAGCCGCCCUAAGAGGGGAUUGGGCAACAUGGGAACGGAGAAAGGGUCAAAACUCCUACGGAAGGAAGAAGAAGGGAAUCUUCGGAAAUGAGCGAAAGCCGGACGGAGAAAGGCGGCGGGAGGGAGGAAGGUCUUCGGAUGGAAAAACUCUGUGAUAAGGGAAGAACAUAUGUGGAAGGAAAAGUGCACAAAGUGACGGUACCUAAUCAGAAAGCCACGGCUAACUACGUG
rnacentral:rRNA from 1 species